UCCCCUGGGGGCAACAAUGUAAUUAAAAUGGGGCCGGCUCUCUUCCUGGGAUGGGGAAGUCUGGCCCUGGCUCUGUGUGGCUCUGAGAAUCUCCCUAGAGUGCUGACAAGGGAAGAUCACCACGUGCCACCUCCGUCCACUGUGCCAGCACACUUCCAGAUCCAGGAAGAAAGGCCAACUCAGAACAGCCCAGCUCCCUGCUGUGAAUGGUGAGUCGCGGCCUCUUCCAACCACAUUCUUGCCUGUGGGCAGCUUGAUGUGUCAUCGGAAGACCCCAAUGUACGUCAAGCUGUGCGACGUUGGUCAUUGGUCCCCCUUUCCUCAUUUGUGACCUGUCCUGUGCCGAGGUUUGUCUACUCAAAGCUGAAUCGGACACUAUCUCUAUCCUCCAGGGAAGCCGGACGUAGCUGUGAAUGGCUCCAUGGCACCGUUUUCCAGCAUUCUGUGGAAUGCUACUCAAUGAGAUAAUGAGUGUUCCAUGACAAAAGUGGUGCAGGUCAUCACAGUUUGGGACUCAAUACCACUUUUGUUCUGGAAAUCCCCAUACUGAAGGCAGAAUGAAUUGCACUUGGUCAGGAAUAAUCUUUCACAGAAUCAGGGUGGAAGCACAUUCGUGGAAAAACACCAAACAGAACAACAAAAAAUCUGAACUCUCCUGAAAGCAUCAUUCAUGAAGAUCACCUCCAAGAAUUAAC